rnacentral:rRNA from 1 species
AUUGAACGCUGGCGGCAUGCCUUACACAUGCAAGUCGAACGGUAACAGGUUAAGCUGCCGAGUGGCGAACGGGUGAGUCAUGUAUCGGAACGUGCCCAGUCGUGGGGGAUAACUGCUCGAAAGAGCAGCUAAUACCGCAUACGACCUGAGGGUGAAAGCGGGGGAUCGCAAGACCUCGCGCGAUUGGAGCGGCCGAUAUCAGAUUAGGUAGUUGGUGAGGUAAAGGCUCACCAAGCCGACGAUCUGUAGCUGGUCUGAGAGGACGACCAGCCACACUGGGACUGAGACACGGCCCAGACUCCUACGGGAGGCAGCAGUGGGGAAUUUUGGACAAUGGGCGCAAGCCUGAUCCAGCCAUGCCGCGUGCGGGAAGAAGGCCUUCGGGUUGUAAACCGCUUUUGUCAGGGAAGAAAAGGUUCUGGCUAAUACCUGGGACUCAUGACGGUACCUGAAGAAUAAGCACCGGCUAACUACGUG